rnacentral:piRNA from 1 species
UCCCAGUGAAUACUGAAGCAAAGAAA